rnacentral:lncRNA from 1 species
UGAUAUAAUACAACUCUCUCCGUUUUACUUCUUUAAAAGGUGCCACAUGAAGGGCUUUCUCAACUCUUGACCCAGGCAUCUGUGGAUUUAAUAAGCAAAUCAAAAGCAAAGAGCCAUCCUCAUAAGAAAAAGGCUUUAGGCGAGUUUUUUAAGGGGCCUUCUUUCGCUUAGAUAACCAUUUCCUUAACUGAAUUCCUUUGACCCUAUACAUCUGAGCCAGGAGGGCAGAGGUUGGUUAGUGUAUUCUACUGGGCCACACAUUAAUAAGGAAUGGAGCCCUUCAACUGUUUCCCAAGCAUCUCUGAAAAAAAAGUCACAAAAAUCAGAGUACUGAAGACUGGUUGGCUCUGGGAACGCAUUCACUCAGAUGUAUUUUUAGGCUUUUGUUUAUCUGUCUUGAUUGAUAAAGUAAUGAUCAAAAUGCGUUAGAAAAUAAUAGCCAACUGGUGAGAAAUGGAACAGUUGGAGGCAGCGCGGCAAUGGAGGAAAGCAUCGCAGACUCCCCCAGACUUUCCAGAGAAACCCCGGGAAAAUCCUCUUCUCUUCUCCUUUCUCUUCUUUGGGGAGCUGAUCAGGGCUCUGGCUUGAUAAAGCCCAUCCCCCACCCCCCCACGUCGCAGAGUAACUCAUUAACCCCCCCAGAAAGGCUGCCCGAGUCCUCGUUUCCCUCUCCUCACCUCUCCUCCAUCCCUCUUCGCUCCGAAGGCUGCCGCAGGCCAACCAGAACCCCAGCAGAUGUUUGUGUUUUAUGAGCCAAACGGGAGCCUGAAGGAUCAACCAAAUACCAGCCCCUCUGAGAGGGGAACCAGGCCAUCUAACACGAGGAACACAGAAGGCCGCCCGUCCAGCAGGGCUGGGGCUUCCAGGGAGCAGAAGGAGGGCUGAAUAAUUAGCUGGCACAGCCUCGUGUUGGCCCAUCGCUCUGUCCUUCUGAAGAGCUCACAGAGGCCUUUAAUGGGGGCUCAGAGAGGUUGGAGAGGCCCUCUGUGAGUCCACCUCCCUGGCUGGCAGUCCUGGCCAGGAUGGCCUCCUCUCAUGCCAGAGCACCAUGUGGCACCCCGACCGUGGUUCCUGGCACAGGAACGAGCAGGAGGGUAAGGACGGCUACCGUGGAACCAACUUGGAAGUGCCGUGCUGCUCAACAGCCACCCCCACCUCCACACCGCUGUAGGGCCAC